rnacentral:rRNA from 1 species
UACGGGGGGGGGCAAGCGUUGUUCGGAAUUACUGGGCGUAAAGGGCUCGUAGGCGCCAACUAAGUCGGACGUGAAAGCCCCCGGCUCAACUGGGGAGGGUCAUUCGAUACUGAUCGACUUGAAGGCAGGAGAGGGAAGUGGAAUUCCGGGUGUAGUGGUGAAAUGCGUAGAUAUGCGGAGGAACACCGAUGGCGAAGGCAGUCCCCCUGGACCUGUACUGACGCUCAUGCACGAAAGCGUGGGGAGCAAACAGG